UACGUAGGACCAAGCGUUGUUCGGAUUUACUGGGCGUAAAGGCGCGUAGGCGGCAAUUCAAGUCAUCUGUGAAAUCUCCGGGCUUAACUCGGAACGGUCAGAUGAUACUGCUUGCUAGAGUACAGAAGGGCAAUCGGAAUUCUUGGUGUAGCGGUGAAAUGCGUAGAUAUCAAGAGGAACACCUGAGGUGAAGACGGGUUGCUGGGCUGAUACUGACGCUGGAGGCGCGAAAAGCUAGGGUAGCAAACGGG
rnacentral:rRNA from 1 species